GUCAGACUAAAGCAGGUGGACGGUUAUCGACUGAAGACUUUUUCAUCAUGAGUUCAGACAAACCCGUCAUGAAGGAGGUUGAAGAAGCAGGAAAGGACAUCACCAAGGCGGCGACUAUGGGUGCGGCAACAGGCGCUAUCGUGGGGGGUCCGGCUGGCGCUGCAGCGGGAGCCGCAGUAGGAGCCAUUGUGGGGGGAGUGGCACAUGUGGUCGACCUCUUUCUAAAAUAAUGAUUAUGACACAUGUGAUGCUCAGAAAUAUCCCAUAAAAAUCACUAUACAAAUGCUGAAUGAAUGAAAUCAUGUAUGACUGUUGUAUCACAUUCUUUUGAUUCUCACCAAGUUUUGCUUCUGAGUCUGUACUUCAUUCUUCUGUAACAACACUGAGCACUGCUUUUACACAAGACAACAUGGUGAAGCAAUGACACACUACUAUACUGUGUAGUACAUAAACUGUCACACAAUGUAAUGUGUGUGAAGGGGACUCAGAAGCAGUGGUCCUCCUGUGUGCUCUAAUCUAAGACUGACCAAGAAGUCGAAAUGUACCUUCUUUUAUUUUCACUUUUAUUUGAAUUGUUAAAAUGUGAUUUAUCUUGUACAAAUACAAGAAAGAACAUGUUAUGGUCCAGUGUCAUGUAUUACUUGUUUGCCAUGUAUUCUGAUCAUUUGUAUACAGACACUGUUAAAAGUAAUUUGCAUUUAAAGUAAAACACUGCAACCUAAUAUUGAGUUUUA